rnacentral:rRNA from 1 species
CCUACGGGGGGCAGCAGUGGGGAAUAUUGCACAAUGGGGGAAACCCUGAUGCAGCGACGCCGCGUGAGUGAAGAAGGAUUUCGGUAUGUAAAGCUCUAUUAGCAGGGAAGAAAAUGACGGUACCUGAUUAAGAAGCCCCGGCUAACUACGUCCCAGCAGCCGCGGUAAUACGUAGGGGGCAGGCGUUAUCCGGAUUUACUGGGGGUAAAGGGAGCGUAGGCGGCAGCGCAAGUCUGAAGUGAAAUGCCGGGGCUUAACCCCGGAACUGCUUUGGAAACUGUGCAGCUAGAGUGCAGGAGAGGGAAGUGGAAUUCCUGGUGUAGCAGUGAAAUGCGUAGAUAUUAGGAGGAACACCAGUGGCGAAGGCGGGUUACUGGACUGUAACUGACGUUGAGGCACGAAGGCGUGGGGAGCGAACAGGAUUAGAUACCCUAGUAGUC